UUGGAGGGCAAGUCUGGUGCCAGCAGCCGCGGUAAUUCCAGCUCCAAUAGCGUAUAUUAAAGUUGUUGCAGUUAAAAAGCUCGUAGUUGAAUUUCGGGGUCAGCAGGUUGGUCAUGCCACAGGUAUGUACUGGUCUCACUGAUUCCUCCUUCCUGAUGAACUGUAAUGCCAUUAAUUUGGUGUUGCAGGGAAUCUGGACUGUUACUUUGAAAAAAUUAGAGUGUUUAAAGCAGGCUAACGCCUGAAUACAUUAGCAUGGAAUAAUGAAAUAGGACGUUCGAUCCUAUUUUGUUGGUUUCUAGGAUUGACGUAAUGAUUAAUAGGGAUAGUUGGGGGCAUUAGUAUUCAAUUGUCAGAGGUGAAAUUCUUGGAUUUAUUGAAGACUAACUACUGCGAAAGCAUUUGCCAAGGAUGUUUUCAUUAAUCAAGAACGAAAGUUAGGGGAUCGAAGACGAUCAGAUACCGUCGUAGUCUUAACCAUAAACUAUGCCGACUAGGGAUCGGGUGAUGUUAAUUUUUUAAUGACUCAUUCGGCGCCUUACGGGAAAC
rnacentral:rRNA from 1 species